AGUGAACGCUGGCGGUAGGCCUAACACAUGCAAGUCGAACGGCAGCACAGUAAGAGCUUGCUCUUACGGGUGGCGAGUGGCGGACGGGUGAGGAAUACAUCGGAAUCUACUUUUUCGUGGGGGAUAACGUAGGGAGACUUACGCUAAUACCGCAUACGACCUACGGGUGAAAGCAGGGGAUCUUCGGACCUUGCGCGAUUGAAUGAGCCGAUGUCGGAUUAGCUAGUUGGCGGGGUAAAGGCCCACCAAGGCGACGAUCCGUAGCUGGUCUGAGAGGAUGAUCAGCCACACUGGAACUGAGACACGGUCCAGACUCCUACGGGAGGCAGCAGUGGGGAAUAUUGGACAAUGGGCGCAAGCCUGAUCCAGCCAUACCGCGUGGGUGAAGAAGGCCUUCGGGUUGUAAAGCCCUUUUGUUGAGAAAGAAAAGCAGCAGGUUAAUACCCCGCUGUUCUGACGGUACCCAAAGAAUAAGCACCGGCUAACUUCGUG
rnacentral:rRNA from 1 species